UAGAACGUCUACAUGGAUGCCUGACGCUAGCUGGUAGAUUUCCGGAAACUUCCAGAAGCUUGUGUGGUCGAUUCUUCAUCUAAAUACGUUGCAAUUGUGAGGUUCAUCCUUGUAACCGAAACAUCAGCAGCCCAGCAACAGCCCAGUGGCAGCAUACCCACCACCAGCAGCAACAGCUCAGCGGCAGCAGCAUCACCAGCAGCAUCACGAGCCCAGCAGCAGCAUCACUAGCGGCAGCAGCAUCACCAGCAGCAGCAGCAGUAAUAUAGGCACCAUAGGAGUAGAAGAUUUGCCUCGUGGAGGACUAAUCAGUAAACCUUCCAGCAAGUCUAACAGUAAUAGGCUCAACUCAGAGGAAGUGGAGUCUCUCCUAUUGCACAAAAAUUAUGUCUGCCACUGGUGAAGAGGAUGGGAACAUACUUCAUCCACCUGAAAUUCAUGAAAUUCAAGAAAUUGAAGGACCACAAGCAAUUGAAACUCUCCUGAACUAUUGUCAGAUUAUAUUUAAAACUGUUCAACGAAUGGAAAAAAG
ensembl:lincRNA Gm15205 predicted gene 15205